AGCGAACGCUGGCGGCAGGCCUAACACAUGCAAGUCGAACGAACUCUUCGGAGUUAGUGGCGGACGGGUGAGUAACACGUGGGAACGUGCCUUUAGGUUCGGAAUAACUCAGGGAAACUUGUGCUAAUACCGAAUGUGCCCUUCGGGGGAAAGAUUUAUCGCCUUUAGAGCGGCCCGCGUCUGAUUAGCUAGUUGGUGAGGUAAAGGCUCACCAAGGCGACGAUCAGUAGCUGGUCUGAGAGGAUGAUCAGCCACAUUGGGACUGAGACACGGCCCAAACUCCUACGGGAGGCAGCAGUGGGGAAUCUUGCGCAAUGGGCGAAAGCCUGACGCAGCCAUGCCGCGUGAAUGAUGAAGGUCUUAGGAUUGUAAAAUUCUUUCACCGGGGACGAAAAUGACUGUACCUGCAGAAGAAGCCCCGGCUAACUACGUGCCAGCCGCCGCCGUAA
rnacentral:rRNA from 1 species